rnacentral:rRNA from 1 species
GAUGAACGCUGGCGGCGUGCCUAAUACAUGCAAGUCGAGCGAACGGACGAGAAGCUUGCUUCUCUGAUGUUAGCGGCGGACGGGUGAGUAACACGUGGAUAACCUACCUAUAAGACUGGGAUAACUUCGGGAAACCGGAGCUAAUACCGGAUAAUAUUUUGAACCGCAUGGUUCAAAAGUGAAAGACGGUCUUGCUGUCACUUAUAGAUGGAUCCGCGCUGCAUUAGCUAGUUGGUAAGGUAACGGCUUACCAAGGCAACGAUGCAUAGCCGACCUGAGAGGGUGAUCGGCCACACGGGACCUGAGACACGGUCCAGACUCCUACGGGAGGCAGCAGUAGGGAAUCUUCCGCAAUGGGCGAAAGCCUGACGGAGCAACGCCGCGUGAGUGAUGAAGGUCUUCGGAUCGUAAAACUCUGUUAUUAGGGAAGAACAUAUGUGUAAGUAACUGUGCACAUCUUGACGGUACCUAAUCAGAAAGCCACGGCUAACUACGUG